rnacentral:miRNA from 1 species
CUUGAGAGAGAGAACACAGACG